CCUACGGGUGACAGCAGUGAGGAAUAUUGGUCAAUGGCCGGAAGGCUGAACCAGCCAAGUCGCGUGAGGGACGACGGCCCUACGGGUUGUAAGCCUCUUUUGUCGGGGAGCAAAGCGCGGCACGUGUGACGCAUUGAGAGUACCCGAAGAAAAAGCAUCGGCUAACUCCGUGCCAGCAGCCGCGGUAAUACGGAGGAUGCGAGCGUUAUCCGGAUUUAUUGGGUUUAACGGGUGCGCAGGCGGAGGUGCAAGUCAGCGGUCAAAUUGCGGGGCUCAACCCCGUACUGCCGUUGAAACUGCAUCCCUAGAGUGCGCGAGAAGUAUGCGGAAUGCGUGGUGUAGCGGUGAAAUGCAUAGAUAUCACGCAGAACUCCGAUUGCGAAGGCAGCAUACCGGCGCGCAACUGACGCUCAUGCACGAAAGCGUGGGUAUCGAACAGGAUUAGAUACCCCUGUAGUC
rnacentral:rRNA from 1 species